AUUGAACGCUGGCGGCAGGCCUAACACAUGCAAGUCGAACGAGUGGCGGACGGGUGAGUAAUGUCUGGGAAACUGCCUGAUGGGGGGGGAUAACUACUGGAAACGGUAGCUAAUACCCCCUACCAUCAGAGGUGCCCAGAUGGGAUGAGCUUGGUGGUGGGGUAACGGCUAACAAGGGCGACGAUCACUAGCUGGUCUGAGAGGAGGACCAGCCACACGGGAAGUGAGACACGGUCCAGACUCCUACGGGAGGCAGCAGUGGGGAAUAUUGCACAAUGGGCGCAAGCCUGAUGCAGCCAUGCCGCGUGUAGGAAGAAGGCCUUCGGGUUGUAAAGUACUUUCAGCGGGGAGGCGUUACCCGCAGAAGAAGCACCGGCUAACUCCGUGCCAGCAGCCGCGGUAAUAC
rnacentral:rRNA from 1 species